CCGCUUGAGCCACAUCCCCAGCCCAAUGAAUGUCAAACAGCUGAGGCUUGAAUCACCCAGGAUCUCACAUCCAAGACCUGUCAGUUCAAUGAUCACUGUUUUCAACACAGAAAUGAAUGGCUGCUCUGCUGCUAAGCRCUGGAGAAAUCUUCGGAUCUGCUUGACAAAACCCAGAAAGCGGUCCAUCUCUUGCUCACUGUGCAGCCCUGCUCAGCCAGCACCAGAGUGCAGAGACAACCCAGCUGCUUGGGAAGCCGGUGGAGCAUGAAUGACCAACACACCAAGCCUGGGGACUGGACGCACUGCCUUGUAUCUGCCUCUAUGCUAUCACCACAGCAGAGAUUUUAGCCAUGGAAGAGAU